CAGAUCCUCGAGCACGUGUGGCAGUUCGACUUCGGCGGCGACGGCAGCGUGGUGGAGACGUACAUGUCGACGCUGCGGCGCAAGGUCGACCGCCGUGAGCCGAAGCUGAUCCGCACCGUGCGCGGCUUCGGGUACGUCAUCCGCGACGAGGUGCGGGCAUGAGGUUGCAUCGCUUCAAGAGCCGCCAGCGGAUCAUCAUCCGCCUCGCUCUCGGUCUCGUCCUCGUGAUGUGCAUCGGGUCGUGGCUGACGAUGGAGUGGGUCAAGCGCGAGCUGCGCCAGGACAUCGACGAUCAGCUGCGCGCGAUGGCGCCCAACGCGGCCGAGUUCCUCGACGCGGUGAGCUUCGAGCUCGUCCAGGACUACGCCGCGCUGUUCGAGGACGGCGGGUG
rnacentral:misc_RNA from 1 species